ensembl:lncRNA
UGAGACAUUGCGGUUUUAUGGCUGGUUAAAGGGGAAUAGUUAGGCACAUAAUGCCCCUUUCCUCCAAGACACACGCACACAAAAUAAAUAAAUCAGGUUUUACACUUCAGGUUUUGUACAUUUUAUACAAAGCUAAGCUAAUGGUUAAUGACUAACCUGGCUCUAAACAAACGGAACAAAAUCUUCUUACCAGCAUCUCCAGAGGUCACCAUCUAUCUAACAUCCACAUAGAAAUUGAGCCAGGGUAGCUGUUUCUCUGUUUGCAGUGCUGAGCUACGCUAAUUGGCUGCUUACACAUCUGGUAGCAACUACAGUACUGUGCAAAGGUUUUGAGCCACCCCUCAUUUCUUUAAACUUUGCAGGAAAAUGGGAAAUAUGUGCAGUGAUUUAUUGAAAAACGAAGCACAAAAUAGAAUAUGUAUCAUUCUAAUGACUUUAAAAGUCAAUAUUUUGGUAUGACUAUCUUUAUUCUUCAACACUUCCUGAGCUCUCUUAGGCAAGAUUUCUUGACAUUUAUUUAAGUAGUCUUCAGGAAUAGUUCUCCACGACAUUCAUAGCUCUUCUCUAGAUGUAGACACUGCUUUCCAGUGUUGCUGUACUUUUCUGUGUUCCAUUAAUUUUCCAUCUCUAACUGGCUGAAAUGCAGCCCCAAACCAUGACAGAGCCUCCACUGUGUUUUACAGAUGGCUGUAGACACUCACAGUUGUAUCUCUUUGCUCUCUCUUCGUACAUAUUUGAGCCAGAAAUUUCACAUUUGUAUUUAUCACUCCAUAUGACCUGUUGCCACCGAUUUUCAGUGCAGUUCUUGUGUAAUUUAACAUACUUCAGCCUUUUCUCCCUGUUUCCCUUCUUUAUAAAUCACUUCUUGACAACCACCAUCCCUACAUUUCUGAUGAUCAGCAAACAGCAGAUGGAUAAACUCACUUUUUAUAGAUUCAGCUUAAGAAAAUUGGAAAAAAUAUGUGUUUGUGACAGGCUGACAGUAACACGGGGCCACAAAUACAAUUUAAAACUUAUUGUUUUUAUGUUCUGACACAACACUAGUUCAUCCCUUAAAUUAAAGCCCGGAGAGCUAUUUCUCGAUACAACUUAAAAAAAUUCCAAGAAAAUCUGUCUCCUUGGAAGCAAAAUAUAAAGACAUGAGGGUUGGCUCAAGACUUUUGCACAGUACUGUACUUGAGAAAGUUGGAGCCCAAGGUCCACUGUGUUUCCUAAGAAUUAUCUGAAAGAAGCAGACUCUGCACAAGUGUGGCACACAUCAGCUCAGCCAAAAUCAGGAAAUGCACCACUGAUUAUUGGAAAAAAAAUUGACCACUUCCUGUUUUUGUUUUGUUUUUUUUACUAUAAUUUAAUAGUUUAUCUAUUGAUUAAUUACUUUGGUGUAGUAUGAAAAGCCAUGGGAGAGGUCAUUUUCAGGACGAAAAUACAUUUAUGCCCUUUUCAUUUAUACCCUUCUUCACUCAUUCCAGAGCCAUCCAGUGGGCCGAAUUAGAGCCUUUGCUGGGCUGAUUCUGGCCCCCGGGCCUCAUGUUUGACACCCCUACCCUAAGGGUAGACCUUGGUUGUGAAUGAACCCUGAAAAAGUCAAUAAACUCCAUAGUAGUCAUUAAGAAAACAGUGUAAAAUGAUUAAAUCCAGUCUUGCAAAAAUGUUUUCACACAUGACUCUUCCUUAAUGAAAGCGGUAUCACUCUUUUAAAUGUGGCUAAUGAAGCCAUGUAAGACACAAGCAUCCAAAUUAAAUUAAACAGAAGUCAUCACAGUUCCUCGGUGUGUAUGCAGCAGCCAUAAUCUGCAGGCAGUACAAAUACAAGUGCACAACGCUCAUGAUUAAUCAUAUUUAGGCAUGGUGCAGACUAAUGUCACCUCAUCUCAAAAUGUGUGGUGUAGAGCUGUGGCAGUGGUACUGAUCUUCUCAUUUAACUCGGCAAAGAAAGCUAAACAGCAUAACUCUCGAAAUGCCAAACUGUCCUUUAAGAUCAGCAUAUAAGAUGAAACAAAACGACAGAGUGUAUUAAAUGCAUUCAUGAAUUCUUCCUCCUUGAGCCCCACACUCCUCCAUACACUCCAUAUGUUCUGCUAAAAGCAAAUGUUACUUUUGCCAAAGGAAACGCUCAAGAACUGCAGCUCACUCAUUACUUGUGUGGUAUUAUAGAUGACUUCAUAAUGUAGAGGUGAAUGUAUUGAUGGUACCUUAAUGUAAAGCACUUUUAAAUGUUUGUCCAGUAUAGAUUAGUAUGUUACACCCCGGGAACCUGCAGGUACUAUUGGCUGUCUGCCGUUAUGUCUGAGCAAAGUAAAACAAGCAUCCCUGUCUCCUCAGUGCUGUGAAAGCAAAGUUCAUGCUCGGCGUGAGGCCUCGUCGAACUAUUUUAGAUUUUAGUUACAUGUUCUGUGAGGUUAGCCUAGAAAGUGUAUGUGGAUUAAGUCUGUAGAUUUUGCUCCAUCUUUAACUCACUUUUAAGACUGAGUAAUAUUUUGCUUAAAUUUCUUUCAGUAGCAGUGUCAUCAUAACCUUUACCAGUUUCUUGAUAAGUGCCUAAAUUGCUUAAUUUUGACAAAUCAACGUAAGUAAAUAUCCCUGGCUGAAAUGGUGCUGAUUCGAGCCCGGACAACAACAAAAUAUCUCAGUACAGCACAUUGAUUUUGCAACGCAAACACGUGCGGUGUGCAUCGGUGGGAAGUAAAGUCACGCUUGACCAGCUGAUUAUCAGUAAUUAAAAGAACACUACGGUCCAUUCAUGGUGAGCAUACAUUUGUUGUUUCUCUGUGUAGAGAAUAUUUUAGAUGUUUUUUUUCAUGUUGUCUCAGAAAAGGCUUGUUGAAAGUUCCCUAAAGACUACCACUGUAAUCCCAACAACUGGGAGUAAUAAAACUACUAUACACAC